rnacentral:rRNA from 1 species
GCUUACGGCCAUACCACGUUGAAAGCACGCCAUCCCGUCCGAUCUGGCAAGUUAAGCAACGUUGGGCCUGGUUAGAAGGCUAGUGUAUGGAUUCUUCGCUCCGAAAGUC